rnacentral:lncRNA from 1 species
AUUUUAAGAAGCGGAGCAGAGGUAGGGGGUAUGGUUGCAUCCUGCCCAUCUGCAGUGAUGCAGCUCUCCCGAAUCCAAUGUGCAGAGAUAGCAUCUUCUAUAGCUGAACAUAUCACCAUUUCUACCUAGUGGUCACCGCCGCCGUGAGUUUACUCUCAGUGAUUUGGCAGGACAUAGCGUGAGCUCCCUCUCACUUCAGACAAAAUCUCCUAGGCUAACACAAGCGUUUUUGUUAAAAAUCUUUAAAUUAACGCAGCUAGUUUUGUGUGGAGCAAUUUGAGGGCACUCAGACAAGCCAUCCUGCAAAUUAGGCAACAGGGUGGUAACCUCUAGCAGAGGAUGGUAGCAAACAGCUGGACAAUGGUAACUUCCGGACUGUAAUAACAGCUACUUGCAGAGUGAGCAUCUGUUUGUACCUUCAGGGACUACCAAAAGGACAAGGGGUGGUAGCUGCUUUAAAGCAGCAUAAGUAUGGGUUAAAUUUCCAGAUAAUGUUAUUAAUGACUAGAAUUUCACGUCCUACCCAAAUUAGCAUGGCCUCUUUAUAAAGAGCUUGAUUUUGAAGAACUGUCGUCUCUCACAGACAGAAAUAUGUCUGCAGUACACUGCCACCUGAGAGAGCUGCAUGUGAGCUGUCACGUCAGGGAAUGUCACUCGUCUAUGUGAAUCUGGCCAGUGAUUCAGGAUUUUGGAGCACCUCCUAUUUGCAGUAUUGAGUUGGUCUAGAAAAUCCCGAGGAUGACCAAAGAACUUAAGGUGUCAGGAAAGUACGCAAGGAAACUGAAAGUGGAGAAGAGGGAGCUCAUCCAUUCACAUGCCAUUAGUAGUGAUGGAUGUUUUAAAAACACCACCAGGAGUUGGGACUCACAGAAACACCAUUGCAGCACUGUCCAACCCAGCCAGCAAUGA